rnacentral:rRNA from 1 species
UACAGAGGUCUCAAGCGUUGUUCGGAUUCAUUGGGCGUAAAGGGUGCGUAGGCGGCGCGGUAAGUCGGGUGUGAAAUCUCGGGGCUUAACUCCGAAACUGCAUUCGAUACUGCCGUGCUUGAGGACUGGAGAGGAGACUGGAAUUUACGGUGUAGCAGUGAAAUGCGUAGAUAUCGUAAGGAAGACCAGUGGCGAAGGCGGGUCUCUGGACAGUUCCUGACGCUGAUGCACGAAGGCCAGGGGAGCAAACGGG